UACGUAGGGUGCAAGCGUUGUCCGGAAUUAUUGGGCGUAAAGAGCUCGUAGGCGGUUUCGUAAGUCGGAUGUGAAAACUCCAGGCUCAACUUGGAGACGCCAUUCGAUACUGCGAUGACUUGAGUCCGGUAGGGGAAUGUGGAAUUCCUGGUGUAGCGGUGAAAUGCGCAGAUAUCGGGAGGAACACCAAUGGCGAAGGCAGCUCGCUGGGACGUUACUGACGCUGAGACGCGAAAGCGUGGGGAGCAAACAGG
rnacentral:rRNA from 1 species